CACUGCGCCACGACGGGAACUCCUGUUCUGUUAAAUCUUAUCUCUUCUUAGUAUUUUUAACCAUUGGUGCUGGGACAACUGGAUAUCCACAUGCAAAACAAUGAAGUUGGACCCCUAUUUGACACCAUAUGAAAAUUAACUAAAAGUGGAUUACAGCCCUAAAUGUAAGAGCUAAAACUGUAAAACUCUGAGAAGAAAAUAGGUGUAAUUUUUCAUGUCCUGUCAGGGAAUGGUGCUUUAGAUAUACCAAAAGUACACAUAACCAAAGAAAACAUAGAUAAAAUGGACUUUAUCAAAAUUAAAAACUUCAGUGCUUCAGAAGACAUCAUUAAGAAAGUAAAAAGAUAACCCACAGAAUGGGAAAAAAUAUUUGCAAAUCAUAUAUCUGGUUAGACACUUGUAUCUAGAACAUGUAAAGAACACUUACAACCAAAGAAUGUUUAAAGCAAAUAACCCAAUUUGAAAGUGGACAAAGGAUCUGAGUAGACAUUUCUCCAAAGAAGACAUACACAUGUCCACUAAGUAUAUGAUAAGAUAUUGAACGUCAUUAGUUACCAUGGAAAUACAAAUAAAAAAUAUAAUCAGAAUUCAUGCCCACUAAACUAAAAUUAAAAAAACAACAACAACACUGUAACAAGUGUUGUCAAGGAUGUGGAAAAAUGAGAACCUUCAUACAUUGCUGGUGGGAUUACAAAAAUGGUACAGCUACUUUGCAGUACUAGUCUAGCAAUUCCUCAAAAGAUUAAACAUGGAGUUACCCAAUGACUGAGAAAUUCCACUCCUAGGUAUUUACUCAAGAAAAUUUUAAACAUGGGUCCAGCAAAAAACUUAUACAUGAGCAUUCAUAGCAGCAUUAUUCAUGAUAGCCAAAGAGUAAAAACAACCCAAUGUCUAUCAGCUGAUGAAUGGAUGAGUAAAUUGUGGUCUGUUCAUACAAUGGAAUAUUAUUUGGCUAUAAAAAUAAAUCAAGUACUGACAAAUGCUACAAUUUGGAUAAACCUUGAAAAUAGUAUUCUCAGUGAAAGAAGCCAGAUACAAAAAGCUUUAUAUACAAAAUAUCCAGAAUAAGCAAUUCCAUAGAAACUGAAGUAGAUCAGCAGCUGCCAGGGGUUGAGGGGUGGAAGAAUGGCAUGUGACUGAUAAUGGAUAUGGGUUUUUUUUAGGGUGUUGAAAAUGUUCUAAAAUUGAUUGUGAUGAGCAUUGCACAAAUUUGUGAACAUACUAAAACCCAUCGAUCUGUACAUUCUAAGAGACACUUGAAUUUGGACAGACAAGCAACCCAGCCACCUUUCAGUGUGGCUGUGUCAGUAUUGGAAUGAAAUGAACAUGACCCCCUCCAGCAGGGAAGGAACACACAGUAAAGGUAUUUUUUAUAGAACAAUUCUUCACACUGCCCUGGUGACUGGGGAGAGGAAUCUCGUGUUUCUCUUUUGCUGAUACUGAAUCAGCUGAAGAAUACCAUGAACGUUAGUAGAAAUGCUCUGAAAUAGUCUCCUCUCCCUUUUGUCUUUUUGUUCUCAGAGAAGAGAGAUUUUUUUAAAAAACGUGAAAUAUUUAAUGAAAAUGCCAAUUAAAAAUUGACCAGUUAUUUGGUGGUUCAGUUUAUAAUCAGAAGUGUUGCUAAUUAUUGCAUUAACUUGCAAAUCGUUGUAGUAAUUGGGCAUACUUCUGAUCCACUCUCUAAUAAAGAUGGCUAUUCUCAUUUACGAUAAGAACACACUCUCAACUAGCAGAGAAAACUGAUUUCAGCAAAGAAAUUCCCAUUCUUGUUUUCUCAACAGUUUAUGUAGUGAUUGGAUUUAUAUCUUGGCAACAUAGAUUGGCAAAAUUGGAACUGAUAAAGAGAGAAACUGAGUUUAUAUCUUAACUGGGGAGAAAUUCCAAACACCCUAGCAACAUGCAUCUCCCAGGUCUUACUUCUGUAUGUUAUUGCACACUUGCUUAUUAACAUUUCCUUAUAUAGAUACUUAUAUGUUUUCCAAGAGCUUAAUGAAAAUGAUGAUAAUAUCAUCUAUCCUCUCUGCAAUGGUUUAUAGUUUACAAAGUACUUUCACACACAUUUUCUCAUUUUCUGAGCAAUUUGGAAAUAUGUGUAAAUGGAAUAAAGUAAAUAAAUUUGUAGAGAAGUUUAAACUUCUAAAAUAGCUUAUUUUGAAUAUGUUUGUUAACCCAAAACCAACUCAAUAGCUCAAAUAAAUUUUUAGUCUCUAGGAAGUGUCAAUAUGAGCAGUUACUUAGAAUAUUCUGAAAAAAAUUAAAGUCCGAAAGUACAAAAUAA